AGACGGGAUGACCGCAUCACUAAGCAAACUGUUGCUUAUGCCUCCUUGUUUUGGAUGCAGAUCAGGACCAGACCCGUAAGGGUAAAGACAUAGCUUGACCGCGGGACUAAGGCAGGAAGGAAGGAUGGGGGAUUUGGGUAGAUGUAGGACGAGUUUAACUUGUAAUAGCUUAUAGCAAACUCACUUGUUAACUCGAACCUCACUUAAUCUAUUCAAAUCUUAUUAUGCUUGCUUUUGAUUGUCUGAAAACGAACUAAAACUCGGAAAUAAUUCUAAGUAAAGAAAUGAGGAAAACGGCCCAAGUCUGAUCGAGGAAGUCGAGCCAGACUCGUACUGAUGGUACGAAAAAAUGGGUCGGGUCCUUUCAAGUGGUAUCAGAGCGGAGUCGGUUCUAGGACAAUCUAAGUAUAGUGGGUUAUUGGGGCAAACCAUCCUUCCAAGCCUGACGUCUCGUGGUAAAUUCUGUGUUCCGUGUUCUGAUCCCAAGUUAGUUUUGACUAACUUGCCUGUGAUCUGAUUGCAGAUGGCAAAAAGUAACCGUAACCCAAGAAGGACUGUGAAUGAGACUGGUGAGGGGUCUGCGAGCAACGUGGCCAGGAAUGAAGCUGGUACGGAAGAGGCUCGGAAUGCUGCUCAGAAUGCAGCAAAUGUGAACAAUGCUGCAGCCGCUGGUGCUGCUGCUGGAGCUGUUGGAUUGGAAGCUGUGCUGGCUAUGUUGGCACAAGUCUUGGCAAGGCUGCCUGCUGUGGCGGCACCUCCAGUGGUUCCACCUGUUGUGGACGAGGCGGAGCAAGUGGUGCAAGAUGGAGAAGAUGCACACGUUGCUAGGAAUCCGUCUUAUCUCAAGGUCAUGGACCACAUGCAAAAACUGGGAACCAAGUUCUUUUCGGGUGGUUCCAAACCAGUGGAAGCAGAUCAAUGGAUUGACAGGAUAGGCCGGAACUUUAAGUCGAUCCGUUGUCCUCUUGCUUACAAGAAGGACAUUGCUGUCCACUACUUGGACGGUGAUGCGCACACCUGGUGGCGAGGUGUUGCUGCCCGGAUUGGUGAGGAUCAGUGCACCUGGGCCAAUUUUAAGGCCGAGUUCCGUGCGAAGUACUUUCCGCCGGAAGCAUUUGACCAACUUGAGGGAGCUUUCCUCAGACUGGAACAGGGAUCUAUGUCUGUAAGGGAAUAUGAAGUAGAGUUCAACAGCCUCAAGAAGUAUGCUGGGCGUGAGGCAGAGUCUGAGAUAUCCUUGGUCCGUAAAUUCAUGCGCGGACUUAGGGUUGAUCUCCGAACUCGUUGUAAGAUCCGCAACUAUGAUACCGUGGCCGAACUGGUGGAAAAGGCCGCGGAGCAGGAAGCGGGAAUCAGUGAGGAAGCCAAAGUGUUUGGCUCAGUGGCGCAUGUCCAUCCUGGUAAGCAUGCGGGGAAGAAUCAAAAGGUGGUGAAGUCUGGCACUUCCAGCAAGCCGAAUGCAACCAGUCGCAGUGCGUGUUCGACUUGUGGGAAGAUGCACUCUGGUGUGUGCCGUGCUGCUACGGGAGCUUGUCACCGUUGUGGAAGUAUGGAUCACAAGGUGCGGGAUUGUCCUGAAGAAGAUCAACGGCCGAAGAGCCAGAACAGGAGUACUGGGGAACGCGUGUGCUACAACUGCGGGGAAACUGGACACUUCAAGAAUCAGUGUCCAAAGGACGCACAAUCUGCUGGGAAGCGUCCGAGUGAUGGGCCUCAGCCGGCUGCGAAGAGGCAGGCCAUCAUGCCGCGGGUGUACACCAUUGGUGAUGAGUCGUCGGACCCAAGCACGUCUCGUCCGAUCUCUGGUGAGUCAUCCUAUCUCUCACCUUUGCCUUAAGAAUUUCUGUGUGAAAUUGCUUGUCUGUAGAGUAGGUCCUUAGUGUUCCGGGUGAAUAUGUAGGGACCUUAGUCAUGGGUGGAGUGGCAGCCCAUGUUCUGUUUGAUUCCGGUGCAUCUCACUGCUUUGGCAACCUGAGAUGAUUGGAAUUGGAGAAUUUCAGAAAGAAGAAGAAGAAGUAAGACCGGUUCGGGCGGCUGGUGGUCAGAUCAUGUACACUUCAGGAAAAAUCCGAAACGUCUCUGUGAUGAUCGGGGGAGUGAACAUGCCAGCCGACUUGGUCAUUUGCCCAGUGAAAUCAUACGAUGUGAUCCUUGGAAUGGAUUGGCUGAGUAAAUACAAGGCACAUCUUGAUUGUCAUCGUGGCCGAGUUCAGUUUGAAAUCGGCAAUGGAAAGCUUGUCUAUCAAGGGGUCAGACCGACCAAUGGGAGUCUGAUCAUUUCAGCACUUCAAGCAGAACGAAUGCUGGAAAAAGGGUGUGAGGCCUAUCUGGCUUCAAUCACGACUGUGGAAGUCGGACCUGAUGCUGAGUUGGAAGGGAUUCCGAUUGUAAAGGAGUAUGAUGACGUGUUCGAAUCCUUGACAGGAUUACCACCGGACCGUUCUGAUCCUUUCACGAUUGAGCUUGAGCCGGGUACAACACCAAUCUCAAAAGCUCCGUAUCGGAUGGCUCCGGCUGAAAUGUCGGAACUGAAGAAACAGUUGGAUGAGUUGGUGGAGAAAGGAUUUGUGCGACCAAGCAGCUCGCCUUGGGGUGCACCAGUCUUGUUCGUGAAGAAGAAAGAUGGUAGCUUCAGACUAUGCAUCGACUACAGGGGGAUUAACAGAGUCACAGUGAAGAACAAGUACCCUCUCCCAAGGAUAGAUGAGUUAUUGGACCAACUCCGAGGUGCUACUUGUUUCUCAAAGAUUGAUUUAGCUUCGGGAUACCAUCAGAUUCCGAUUGCUGAAGAGGAUAUCCGUAAGACAGCUUUCAGAUCAAGAUAUGGCCACUACGAGUUCGUGGUCAUGCCCUUCGGACUGACCAAUGCCCCUGCAGCGUUUAUGAAGAUGAUGAAUAACGUUUUUAGAGACUACCUGGAUGAAUUCGUUAUUGUCUUCAUAGACGACAUCUUGAUCUACUCAAAGAAUCAGAAAGAUCACGAGCAACACUUGAGAAUGGUUUUGGAUAAACUGCGGGAACAUAAGCUGUACGCCAAGCUUAGCAAAUGCAGUUUCUGGCAAAAAGAAAUUGGUUUCUUGGGUCAUGUGGUGUCGGACAAGGGAGUGUCCGUCGACCCAGAAAAGAUCAAAGCCAUUGCGGACUGGCCAAGACCAAGGAACCCAACGGAGAUCAGGAGUUUUCUCGGACUGGCUGGAUACUACCGGCGUUUUGUUAAGGGAUUUGCUAGCAUGGCUCAGCCGUUGACAAAGUUGACUGGGAAAGAUGUUCAGUUUGUGUGGACAGAAAACUGUGAAGUGAGUUUCAGCAAACUCAAGGAGAUGUUGACCACUACUCCAGUAUUGGCUCUUCCAAUGGACAACGAGCCAUAUGUGGUCUAUACAGAUGCAUCCAAAGUUGGACUUGGGUGUGUUCUGAUGCAACAAGGCAAAGUGAUCGCGUAUGCGUCUAGACAGCUGAGGAAACACGAAGGAAACUAUCCAACACACGACUUAGAAAUGGCUGCUGUCGUGUUUGCGUUGAAGAUAUGGCGAUCUUACCUCUAUGGUGCCAAGGUCCAAGUCUUCACGGAUCAUAAGAGUUUGAAGUAUAUCUUCACUCAACCAGAGCUGAACCUUAGGCAGAGGCGGUGGAUGGAACUGGUUGCGGAUUAUGACUUGGAUAUUGCCUACCAUCCGGGAAAGGCAAAUCUAGUCGCGGAUGCCUUGAGCAGGAAGAGAGUAGCUUCAGCUUCAGAGAAAGACAUGCAGGAACUGGUUCACAUGGUGGGAACCUUACGAUUAGCUGCCUUGACCGACGAAGUGGAACCGUUGGGUCUUGGUGCAGCGGAUCAGGCUGACUUGUUGUCCAGAGUUCGCCUUGCUCAGGAAAAGGAUGAUGAUCUGAUCAAAGCUUCAAAGAAUGAGAAGACAGAGUAUCAGACUUCAAACAAUGGGACGAUUUUGGUUAAUGGCCGGGUGUGUGUUCCUAAUGACAAAGGAUUGCGGGAUGAGAUCCUAAAAGAAGCACAUCAGUCUAAGUUUUCGAUACAUCCAGGAGCCAACAAGAUGUACCGAGACUUGAAGAGAUACUAUCAUUGGGUUGGAAUGAAGCGUGAUGUUGCAAAAUGGGUAGCUGGGUGCCCAAUCUGCCAGAUGGUUAAGGCAGAAAAUCAAGUUCCGAGCGGACUACUUCAGAGUUUACCCAUUCCGGAAUGGAAGUGGGAUAUGAUCACGAUGGACUUCGUGACUGGCUUGCCAAUGAGAAAUGGCAAGGACGCUAUCUGGGUGAUAGUGGACAGAUUGACCAAAUCUUCGCAUUUCUUGGCAAUCAACAAGACAGACAAUGCAGCAGUGCUAGCCAAGUUAUAUGUGGAACAGAUCGUCAGACUUCAUGGAGUUCCGGUAAGCAUAGUGUCAGACCGAGACUCCAAGUUUUAUUCAGCCUUUUGGAGGGCGAUGCAGAAGUCGAUGGGGACCAAGGUCCAUAUGAGUACAGCAUAUCAUCCGCAAACGGAUGGACAAUCAGAAAGGACAAUCCGAACACUUGAAGACUUGCUGCGAUCUUGUGUUCUGGAUUGGGGAGACAAAUGGGAUCAAUACUUGCAUCUGGCCGAGUUCUCAUACAACAACAGCUAUCAUGCAAGUAUUGGAAUGUCUCCUUACGAGGCAUUGUAUGGACGUCCGUGUAGGACACCGCUAUGCUGGACCCAAGUGGGGGAGCGCAGCAUAUUUGGCCGAGACUUUGUGGAGGAGACAACUGAAAGAAUCCGAGUCUUGAAACUGAAGAUGAAAGAGUCUCAGGACAGGCAGAAGAGUUAUGCAGACAGACGCAGAAAAGAGCUUGAGUUUGAAGUAGGGGACAUGGUAUAUCUCAAAACCGUCACCUACAAAGGCAAGGACCGAUCCUCAAAGAAUGCCAAGCUGAGUCCAAGAUACAUGGGGCCGUAUAAGAUCCUGGAAAGGAUUGGAAAGGUCGCUUACAAACUGGAACUGCCUUCAUCGAUGGCUCAGUUCCAUAACGUGUUCCAUGUAUCCUUGCUGCGAAAAUGCAUAAGGAAUCAAGACAAUGUGGUUUCAGAACCACCAUCUGACUUGAGAGAAAACCUUACAGUGGAGGGACGACCAGUCCGGAUCAUUGGUAGGAAAACCAAACCUGAAGGCAGAAAGAAUAUCAAAAUGAUCCAAGUCGUUUGGGACUGCGAUGGAGAAGAAGAAACGACUUGGGAACCAGAGGCGAGAAUGAAAGCUGAGUUUCCAAAGUGGUUUGACAAACUCAAGGAAGAUUCAGGAAGAAAGACUCGAGGACGAGUCUGAGCCAAGUGGGGGAGAACUUGUAGCGACCGUGUUCCGAAGAUCGAUGAUAGGAUGAUCUGAGGACUGACUGGCCGGACUGUUGGAACGUACUGAAUGGGUUUGAUGAUGCUAGAAAGAGCUGGCCAAAGUUGUAAGGACUUACCGUGGGUGGAUGGGAGUUCUUGGUUCGGAAGUCUGAUUAGUAGUGGAUGGAGCGGAACCAUGUACCCGAAUAAAGCUAGGAUCUGAUCUGUUUUUGAGCCAACAAAGCUCCAUCAGUCGGUCUUACGCUCGGGUUAUUGGACCAGGCCGUUCGAUUUGCGGAACUCAGUAGUGUUCGGCCAGUUCGAUGAAAAUCCAGGCAAAGCGGUAUUUUCGGACAGCAAUGGUCGGAUCCGGACAAGUGUUGUCGGAUUCGGACAUGACGGUUGAGCUGGUCGGCUAGACAGAGAUUGUCGGAAAUCAGACAAGGGAGUUAAGACUGUCGGCUAAGCUGAGAUGAGCUGAUUCAGUAGUAUUGGUCUGAUUCGGACAAGGCGGUUAGAGUUGUCGACUGCAUCAGUCAGCUUCAGCUCGAGUUUCGUCUAAGUAAAACUGGCGGGAACAGUUAAGGUCCGAAAAGGGGAAAAACUCGCGCUGACAUGCUUUGGAGCGCGGGGAGGCGGUUAUGGACAAAGAGCCGCGUGUAAAAUAAGCGGGAACGGUUAUCUUUGCAGUUUCUCGGGCCUAAACCGCCCAACUGCCCAACUGCCCAUUUUAAUCGUCUCCUUGGUCUUAUUUCGCCAUUUCUGUACGGGAAACAGAAAGAAAGAACCAGAGAAGAACUCAGAGAGAGAAAAGUCCGAUAGAGAGAGAACUUUCGAUAUUUGGCUGUAUUGAUCAAGUCCGAGUCAAGAACGAUCGUCUGUGGGGUGAUUCCGACUGUCUGAACGUUCGAAGAUCCGACGGAAACCGCUCAAGAGGUGUCAGAAGAGACCGAAUCAAACAGAACAUACCGACUCUAAGACAAAGGUGAGUGCGUGACCGUAGCCUAUAGUACUGAAUCGUAGUCUGAAUGAUAGGAAUGUUCUAUGUACUGAUUGCUUGUCUAAUUCGAAUUAUCUGCUAAGUUCUGGCUUGGUCCGAACAGUCGGUUCCUUCCAUCGACGCAUCUGGAUCAGAACAUGCGCCUAGAGCCGGAAUGGCCUGCUAGGGUUGUCUGUAUCUGAUGGCGCGUUGGCUUGGGACGAUUGGGUCGGCUAAGUGACUGACUGAUGAUAAGCAUGUCCGUUUACUGAUUGAUUGACUCGAUUGCUUUACAUGGCUGAGUGAGACGGGAUGACCGCAUCACUAAGCAAACUGUUGCUUAUGCCUCCUUGUUUUGGAUGCAGAUCAGGACCAGACCCGUAAGGGUAAAGACAUAGCUUGACCGCGGGACUAAGGCAGGAAGGAAGGAUGGGGGAUUUGGGUAGAUGUAGGACGAGUUUAACUUGUAAUAGCUUAUAGCAAACUCACUUGUUAACUCGAACCUCACAUAAUCUAUUCAAAUCUUAUUAUGCUUGCUUUUGAUUGUCUGAAAACGAACUAAAACUCGG
rnacentral:lncRNA from 1 species